CGAAUUCGCGGCAACCUCUCCUCCUCCCAAUGGUUGCCGCGAUGACAAGGACCGCCACUCCUCCUCCCAAAGGUGGUCCGUUCCUAUGAGGCCCGCCGGUUCCUCCCACCGGCGGGCACUCAAG
rnacentral:sRNA from 1 species